CGUCCCAGCGAUCUGCUAAACCUCCUGCGCGUAGGUCCGGCCAUUGCCGGGCCCAUCUCCGAUCCGGGGAUGUCCCAAGCGC
rnacentral:sRNA from 1 species